CUCUUAAAAUCGAUAUAAAUAACAUUCAUUUGUUUAAUUUAGGAAAAAGAAUAUUAAAAAAAUAGUUUGAAAGUACUUAAUUUGUAGUUUUAGAUUUUUAACUAUGAAAACCAUAUUGUUGAGGUGUUAAGACAUUUUUAAAAAGAGGAGAAAGCUUUAAAUUAAUAAUUUUGGAGAAUUUUAAGAAGGAUUUAUAUUUUAUAUAUUGAGCAAUAAUUAGUUACUAAAGAUUUACCACCUUUUUUUAAUAGUUGGGGUGAUAUAAGUAUUUUUCCACCCAGUUGGGAAAGUUUGGGUUUUUAAAAAUUUGAUAACAAGACCGGUAAAGGUGGUAAAUUAACUGUUUUAUAUGUGGAUGUAAAAUAGCGACUAAAUAAAUUAACAAUACUUUGAUCAACUUCAGCCACUACGUUAUCGAAAGAUAAGGAAUUCGGAAGACUAGUGGAACCUUAUAAAUUCUUAAUAAAUGACCAAAAUUGCUUGGGAUUUGAUUUAAGUGAAUAUUGCAUCUUACUAAGAUAGUAAGUAUAACCAUGUUUGCUAUGUAAUUUACAUUGAGCUUGAAUAGAUGACAAAUUUAAGUAGUCAAUAUUAAAGUUUGAUAGCAUGAUAGUUUUAUUGUUUAAUUACAUUUCUUAACUCUUUGGAGAACUAAAUAGGAAAUUUAGAACUAAAGGAAUAAUCAAUGGUACAAUAUAAGACAGAAUAAAAUUCUUUUAAUAAUUCAUAUAUAUUACUUUUUUAAAUAUGGUGGGCCAAUCUAAAUUUUGUUUGGCUUUUAGUUCUAAAUCGACUAAAAUAUCACUGUCACCAAUUACCUUAAGUAUACUUUGUAUUUACUUUAUAAAGAUUUAAUUUGAAGUUUUAGCUGAGUUUGGCAGGCUAGGUUUCGCUAUGGAGGACUGAAUUCUCUACUAUUAUCCAAUGCUUAUAUCCACAUUAUUAUAAUUUAUAAUAUACCUACCAAUACGCGACCUUGUUUAAUAAAUUUUGUAACAAAGAUCAAUAGUAUUCAUAAAUAUGGAUAAAUUAUAAUUCAUCAAAAUACAUUUAUUAUAACAUUUUUAUGACUUAUUUU